rnacentral:rRNA from 1 species
UACGUAGGAUGCAAGCGUUGUCCGGAAUUAUUGGGCGUAAAGCGCGCGCAGGCGGUCCUUUAAGUCUGAUGUGAAAGCCCACGGCUCAACCGUGGAGGGUCAUUGGAAACUGGGGGACCUGAGUGCAGAAGAGGAGAGUGGAAUUCCACGUGUAGCGGUGAAAUGCGUAGAGAUGUGGAGGAACACCAGUGGCGAAGGCGACUCUCUGGUCUGUAACUGACGCUGGAGGCGCGAAAGCGUGGGGAGCGAACGG